AUGCAGGUUCCAAGGAUGACGACUGUGAGGGACAGAGAAGUCCCCAUCUUGGACGUGGGGAUCAAAAGCGGCUCCAGAAUCCUUGAGGUGUCCUUAUGGCGGGACCAGGCCUUGUCCAAAUUCAAAAUUAAUGAUAAAGUGAACAUAUGUCACCUUCGAGCAAGCGCCAAGGCCACCAAGUUAAAUUCAACCAUGCACACAACUGUGGAGGAUGGCGACCCCUACAGUCAGCAAGCACCGCUAAAAGUGAAGUAUGUGGACAGCCGCAGGACCCAGAAGGCUUUAAAUUUCGUCACCAAAGACAAUAUAAUUGAUGUUGGAGCACACAAGGUGAUCACACUGUCAGCCCUUUCUGAUGGACAGACAUGGUACACCUCAAUAAAAACUGGAAGUGACCCAGAGUUUGAAGAGGGUGGGUCGUACAUCAUCAAAAAUCUUACCCUCUCAAAACAAUAUGGCCGGCAGUGUAUUUUUUUAAACCGGUCAAGCCGGAAAUUUAAAACCUCCCCAUUGGCCAUAACCGAGGAGGCAGAGAGAGCUGCUAAAGAGGUCCUCUAUCCUCCUUCCCCAUUUGUAACCGGGGAAGAACAGGAGAUCUUCACAAGCCCUGGGUACCUGAGUCUGCAGGGAAAUAUUGAGAAAGUAAGUUCAUUUAAAAGCACAAUUGAAUAUCUAGUACAUUAUCCUGGUUUACUUAACCUAGGCAAAUGUAAGCUAUUAUAAUUGUGUUUCUCAAUCACAGUCCUAGAGUAACACUCUUAUUUGAGAGACACAUUUAGGUGAAUUAACCUUGAUUGGGAAUACACAGAAAAUAUUCAGUGUUGGGGACACCUGGACCAGGACUGAGAAACACUCAUCUGUGACACUGGGCUGGUGUUUUCCAGUUGCAAGUGGCCAGGAUGAUUCGGGCCCAGUAUCCCCUCCUGGACCUUUCUUUGAGGUCUGGAACUAAACUUCUGGAGGUAACUUUGUGGAGAGAAGAGGCGCUGAUGGACCUGUACGUCGGGGAUAAGGUGGAGGUCAGCCACCUAAGGGCAAGAAUUCGGCCCAAUGGAGGAGGCAAAUUUGACUCCUCCAACUAUACGACUGUCGAGGUAAACAAAUAUAAAUUUCAAAGGUUAUCAAAGACAAGUAAACAGUCAUUAAUAAAAAAUAAGAACAAGUAAUUAAACUGCA
ensembl:lncRNA